AGAGUUUGAUCCUGGCUCAGGAUGAACGCUAGCGACAGGCCUAACACAUGCAAGUCGAGGGGCAGCGAAGAGGUAGCAAUACCUUUGUCGGCGACCGGCGCACGGGUGAGUAACACGUAUGCAAUCCACCUGUAACAGGGGGAUAACCCGGAGAAAUCCGGACUAAUACCCCAUAAUAUGGACACUCCGCAUGGAGAGUUCAUUAAAGAGAGCAAUUUUGGUUACAGACGAGCAUGCGCUCCAUUAGCCAGUUGGCGGGGUAACGGCCCACCAAGGCGACGAUGGAUAGGGGUUCUGAGAGGAAGGUCCCCCACGUUGGAACUGAGACACGGUCCAAACUCCUACGGGAGGCAGCAGUGAGGAAUAUUGGUCAAUGGUCGGCAGACUGAACCAGCCAAGUCGCGUGAGGGAAGACGGCCCUACGGGUUGUAAACCUCUUUUGUCGGAGAGUAAAGUACGCUACGUGUAGUGUAUUGCAAGUAUCCGAAGAAAAAGCAUCGGCUAACUCCGUGCCAGCAGCCGCGGUAAUACGGAGGAUGCAAGCGUUAUCCGGAUUUAUUGGGUUUAAAGGGUGCGUAGGCGGCACGCCAAGUCAGCGGUGAAAUUUCCGGGCUCAACCCGGAAUGUGCCGUUGAAACUGGCGAGCUAGAGUGCACAAGAGGCAGGCGGAAUGCGUGGUGUAGCGGUGAAAUGCAUAGAUAUCACGAAGAACUCCGAUUGCGAAGGCAGCUCACUGGAGCGCAACUGACGCUGAAGCUCGAAAGUGCGGGUAUCGAACAGGAUUAGAUACCCUGGUAGUCCGCACGGUAAACGAUGGAUGCCCGCUGUUGGUCUGAAUAGGUCAGCGGCCAAGCGAAAGCAUUAGGCAUCCCACCUGGGGAGUACGCCGGCAACGGUGAAACUCAAAGGAAUUGACGGGGGCCCGCACAAGCGGAGGAACAUGUGGUUUAAUUCGAUGAUACGCGAGGAACCUUACCCGGGCUUGAAUUGCAGAGGAAGGAUUUUGGAGACAAUGACGCCCUUCGGGGCCUCUGUGAAGGUGCUGCAUGGUUGUCGUCAGCUCGUGCCGUGAGGUAUCGGCUUAAGUGCCAUAACGAGCGCAACCCCUCUCCUUAGUUGCCAUCAGGUUAAGCUGGGCACUCUGGGGACACUGCCACCGUAAGGUGUGAGGAAGGUGGGGAUGACGUCAAAUCAGCACGGCCCUUACGUCCGGGGCUACACACGUGUUACAAUGGCAGGUACAGAGAGACGGUCCCUUGCAAAACGGAUCAAAUCCUUAAAGCCUGUCUCAGUUCGGACUGGGGUCUGCAACCCGACCCCACGAAGCUGGAUUCGCUAGUAAUCGCGCAUCAGCCAUGGCGCGGUGAAUACGUUCCCGGGCCUUGUACACACCGCCCGUCAAGCCAUGAAAGCCGGGGGCGCCUAAAGUCCGUGACCGUAAGGAGCGGCCUAGGGCGAAACUGGUAAUUGGGGCUAAGUCGUAACAAGGUA
rnacentral:rRNA from 1 species